rnacentral:rRNA from 1 species
UCCUUGGUCAUUUAGAGGAAGUAAAAGUCGUAACAAGGUUUCCGUAGGUGAACCUGCGGAAGGAUCAUUAUCGUAGGGCUUCGGCCCUGUCGAGAUAGAACCCUUGCCUUUUUGAGUACCUUUCGUUUCCUCGGCAGGCUCGCCUGCCAAUGGGGACCACAAAAAACACUUUGCAGUACCUGUAACAGUCUGAACAAACAAACAAAAAUUAAAACUUUCAACAACGGAUCUCUUGGUUCUGGCAUCGAUGAAGAACGCAGCGAAAUGCGAUAAGUAGUGUGAAUUGCAGAAUUCAGUGAAUCAUCGAAUCUUUGAACGCACAUUGCGCCCUUUGGUAUUCCUUAGGGCAUGCCUGUUCGAGCGUCAUUUAAACCUUCAAGCUAAGCUUGGUGUUGGGUGACUGUCCGCUUCACGGCGGACUCGCCUCAAAAUUAUUGGCGGCCGGUACAUUGGCUUCGAGCGCAGCAGAAACGCGAACUCGGGCCCGUCGUAUUGGCUCCCAGAAGCUAUCUUCNCAAUUUUGACCUCGGAUCAGGUA